GACGUAGGGCGCGAGCGUUGUCCGGAUUUAUUGGGCGUAAAGAGCUCGUAGGCGGCUUGUCGCGUCGACCGUGAAAACUUGGGGCUCAACCCCAAGCCUGCGGUCGAUACGGGCAGGCUAGAGUUCGGUAGGGGAGACUGGAAUUCCAGGUGUAGCGGUGAAAUGACGUAGAUAUCUGGAGGAACACCGGUGGCGAAGGCGGCAUCCUGGACUACUACUGACGCUGAGGAGCGAAAGCCAGGGGAGCAAACGGG
rnacentral:rRNA from 1 species